rnacentral:rRNA from 1 species
UACGUAGGGUCCGAGCGUUGUCCGGAAUUACUGGGCGUAAAGAGCUCGUAGGUGGUUUGUCGCGUUGUCCGUGAAAACUCACAGCUCAACUGUGGGCGUGCGGGCGAUACGGGCAGACUGGAGUACUGCAGGGGAGACUGGAAUUCCUGGUGUAGUGGUGAAAUGCGUAGAGAUCGGCAGGAACACCCAGGGGGAAACCAGCCGACUGGGCAUCUGCUGACGCUGAUGUGCGAGAGCGUGGGGAGCAAACAGG